AUACCGUUCCAGACAAUCGCGCUGCAUGAGUUUCAUGGGUGAGGAAAGUCCGGGCUCCACAGAGCAGGAUAACAGAUAACGUCUGCCGAAGGCGACUUCAGGGCCAGUGCAACAGAGAGAUACCGCCGUGCGUUUUGUACGGUAAGGAUGGAAAGGCGGGGUAAGAGCCCACCGGCGCGUCGGAGACGGCGCGGCCAUGUAAACCCUAUCCGGAGCAACACCCUCCGAAGCGAUAGCUUGCUCGGCUGCUUCACGGGUGGCAAAGAGCCGUGCGGCGACGUACGGCCAAGAUAGAUGAUUGUCCAAUACAGAACCCGGCUUACAGAAACGGUCGAAGA
rnacentral:RNase_P_RNA from 1 species